UCCAAUAGCGUAUAUUAAAGUUGUUGCAGUUAAAAAGCUCGCAGUUGAAUUUCGGGAUCAAUUUAUUGGUCGUGCUAUUGUACGUACUGGUAUUAUUGAUUCCUACCUUCUGACGAACCAUGAUGUCAUUAAUUUGGUGUCAUGGGGAAUCAGGACUGUUACUUUGAAAAAAUUAGAGUGUUUAAAGCAGGCUCGCGCUUGAAUACAUUAGCAUGGAAUAAUGAAAUAGGACGUUAAUCCUAUUUUGUUGGUUUCUAGGAUCGACGUAAUGAUUAAUAGGGAUAGUUGGGGGCAUUAGUAUUCAAUUGUCAGAGGUGAAAUUCUUGGAUUUAUUGAAGACUAACUACUGCGAAAGCAUUUGCCAAGGAUGUUUUCAUUAAUCAAGAACGAAAGUUAGGGGAUCGAAGACGAUCAGAUACCGUCGUAGUCUUAACCAUUAACUAUGCCGACUAGGGAUCGGAUGAUGUUAAUUUUUUAAUGACUCAUUCGGCGCCUUACGGGAAAC
rnacentral:rRNA from 1 species